rnacentral:rRNA from 1 species
CAGUAGCCGCGGGAAUACGAAGGGGGCUAGCGUUGUUCGGAAUUACUGGGCGUAAAGCGCACGUAGGCGGACUUUUAAGUCAGGGGUGAAAUCCCGGGGCUCAACCUCGGAACUGCCUUUGAUACUGGAAGUCUUGAGUGUGGAAGAGGUAAGUGGAAUUGCGAGUGUAGAGGUGAAAUUCGUAGAUAUUCGCAGGAACACCAGUGGCGAAGGCGGCUUACUGGUCCACAACUGACGCUGAGGUGCGAAAGCGUGGGGAGCAAACAGGAUUAGAUACCCCUGUAGUCCCUGUCUCUUAUAC